UAAUCGAACCAUCAGCUCAACGGUGGUUAACAGGGACGAAAAGUACGAUCCCUAGUCCGGUGAAGGCGGGCAAGACUGUCAAAUUGCUGGGACACCCUAAAGGCGCUGGUACUAACUUGGCUUGGAAACGAGCUGAGGGUCGAGUAACUUGCUCGAGAGUGACAAUCCAGCGUAUGAUAGGUGCCUUUCAAGUACCUUGAAAUGGGCAAUCAGCAGCCAAGCUCUAAGUUAUUCUGGUCUGUUUGCAGGGCAGAAUGAUAGGAGUGCAGUUCAGAGACUAGAUGUCAGUCGGUACUCCAGGGCAAUUAAUUAUGCAUGGAGUGCUUAAGGUAUAGUCCAAUCCCAGUUGAAAGACUGGC
rfam:Spizellomyces punctatus DAOM BR117 chromosome Tnknown supercont1.30, whole genome shotgun sequence.